AGUGAACGCUGGCGGUAGGCCUAACACAUGCAAGUCGAACGGCAGCACAGUAAGAGCUUGCUCUUACGGGUGGCGAGUGGCGGACGGGUUAGGAAUACAUCGGAAUCUACUUUUUCGUGGGGGAUAACGUAGGGAAACUUACGCUAAUACCGCAUACGACCUACGGGUGAAAGCAGGGGAUCUUCGGACCUUGCGCGAUUGAAUGAGCCGAUGUCGGAUUAGCUAGUUGGCGGGGUAAAGGCCCACCAAGGCGACGAUCCGUAGCUGGUCUGAGAGGAUGAUCAGACAGACUGGAACUGAGACACGGUACAGACUCCUACGGGAGGAAGCAGUGGGGAAUAUUGGACGAUGGGCGCAAGCCUGAUCCAGCCAUACCGCGUGGGUGAAGAAGGACUUAGGGUUGUAAAGCCAUUUUGUUGGGAAAGAAAAGCAGCAGGUUAAUACCCCGCUGUUCUGACGGUACCCAAAGAAUAAGCACCGGCUAACUUCGUG
rnacentral:rRNA from 1 species